UUAAUUUUAUUUGGAAAGAAAAAAGUCACAGAUCAAAGUUUGCGUUCAGCUUCUCCCAAAAAUAAAACACACUGCGUUUUCUACCGAUCUAUCUCUCGAUUCUAGGUUUUGCUCUCUCUCGAUCUCUCUCCCGAUCUCGUUUCCCUCUCAAUUUGGAUCUCGCUUCCGAUCUCGAUUUCUCUCUCUCUUUGGAUCUCGUUCUCACUCUCGAUAACACGUUCUCGUCGAGGUAUGCAUCCAUUGUCUCUUGCUUCGAUUUCCACGUUUCUGAUUUCCACGUUUCUGAUUUCCACGUUCUCGUCGAGGUUUUCUAACUUGAUUUUAACAGUAUUGAUUUUGACAAUACUUGAUUUUGAAAGUUAUCUAACUUGAUUAAAGAAACUUUGGGGCAAAAUCUCUUCAUUUUGGGUACCUUGGACACAAGUGAGCAAGUCAAGGCCAUUGUUGUUAAUCGCUGACUUUGUCGACAGAAACCGUAAGCUUUUCUCAGGGAUCAGUGCAUUUUUCCUUAGCCUGAUAUCUUAGUAUGACAAUCCGAGGUAGAGGAGGUACGUAGACGGAGUCAAGAGAGUGGUCGCAAUCAACUUCACUCUUCACCUUUGCGAGGUGUGCAUAUUGACCGGAACAAAAGGCAAAGGUUAGGGAUGGUUGAUGCAUUAAAGCAUAAGCAUAAAUUCACUUAUGAUUUUGAAGAUCUCUAUGAUGAUAUUGAAGAUGAAGAGACGCAAUUAAUCAAGAAGAGAAAUUAUCAACGACAAUUACUCAAGCGCCAAAAAAUUGAUGCAUAUAAUGUAAAAGAAGGUAAAGGAGUGAGUUUUGAAAUUUCCAACAAUAUGGGACAAUCUAGUAGAAGAAUUAUAUACAAUCAAGGGAGAGAGCGUAAUGACCGACCAGAACCUUCUCAGUCUUGCACUAGUCCAGCACCACCACCUCCACGUGCACAAUUCUGCAGAGGUAUUUCUCUACUGCGACUUGUUUAUCAUUAAUGUCAUAAAGUUGCACCAUGACAAUACAUUCAUCAUGUAUACUUUUUCGGUGUAGACUAAAUAUUAUUUGUUUAGUGCUAAAGUUGUUUCCAGUAGCACUAUCUAAUUUAAUAUAUCUACAUUGCUGGACCUGUCUUAGGUAUCUCUUCCACAAAACUUGAACCACAUUGGUCAAGUCACUAAGAUGUGUCUUUAAAGGGAAAAAGAAUCUUGAAAUUCUAUAAACAGUUCUCUUCUGUUUAAUUUCCAACAGUAUAUAAUAGCCAGAGCUUGAUAGAGAAUUUGAGAGCAUAUUUAACUGAGUUUUCAUCAAAUUUAACAGAGGUUAUCCCUCAAGUUUCUUGCCUUUUCUUCAGCAGAAAAUUGUUAUAUACUUGAACUUUGUCGUGUUAGAAACUAUAUUUCAUUCAAAGAUGUGUUUGUGUCCGAUGUUUGUGGUCGACACUAAGGGUCAUGGUCCCAAAGGAAUGAAGGCAGAGGUAUGGGACGGUUUGGUUGACAUUUGAUUGAAACCAGAGUGGAAGAAGAAAUCCGAUGCAAAUCGUUGUAACAGGGCUGCCUUACCUGAUGCAGUGUUGCACACAUGAGGUUCUAUUAACUUAGGUGAACAUAAGAAAAGGAUGGAGGAGGAGUUGAAACAUACAGUUUCGUUUAGAGACGUGUAUGCUCGAGUUCAUAAGAAAAAAGAUGGAGAAUAUGUCUUUCAACGGUCGAAGUUAUUUGUUGAGUCAUAUGACACGGCUAUAGUGGAAAAGUAUGGAGAAAACACAUUUGGCGCCGAUGUUGGAGCCAAUCCUUUCAUUGAUUCAAUCCAUGCCAAAAGCACCCAUGCAAAGUGAAGUACCUGAAAAAACUCAUGGAGAUACAAGGUGAAAGAAUGUUUUCCAAUCUAUUUCGAAAACCGGAGUUAAUAUGGAACCUGAGUUGUGAUUUCUGAAUUGGAAAUAAAAUAGAAUAUUAUGUUGUGAUUUCUGAAUUGGAAAUAAAAUAGAAUAUUAUUGUAAUGUAUAAUGUUUUAGUGUUGUUAAAUAUAUUAAAAACUUGAUUUUUGAAUAUUAUUGUGAUGUAUAUUGUUUAAGUGUUGUUAAA